UGACAUAUUCUAAAGGAUCUUCUGGGUGAAUGUUCGGGUGAUGGAACAUUCACAGUUGACCAGGUCAAAUUCAAGAACAGAGAAAAGUCUCAAGGUGUGAAAUUUCAGGGAAAAUAUCCUGAGUAAAGUGCAGUAAAACUCGCACAUAUAAUUACUGAAUCAACUAAUAACAGACAAAGUGUCGAUGCCAUAAGUGAUUUAUUCAUGAAAAUCAGUUGGAUUCAAUAUUCAAAGUGAAGGUCUUAAGAAAUUGUCAAAUAUCAGACCAGAGGCUUGAUGAUGGACAAGAUCAUUUCUGUUGAAGAAAGAAGAUAUUCUGCAAAUCAACAACACACAUCCAAAAUACUUCAUAAUUGGUGGAAAGGAGGCUGGCUACAUCUAUUUCCAUUAUUUGGUUCAUUUACAUGCUCUGCAAACAUCCUGAGAUUCAAGAUAUGGUUGAAUAAGAAAUCAAAGAAGCAACAAACAUGAUAAACAAAUUCAUGUAACUUGGAACAAAACUCUCGUGAGUCUAUCCUGCAUCUCAGUGGUAUGCAACUCAAAUAUUUAGCAAUUUCUCAUUCUUUAAAUUAACCAAGCCUUUGACUAAUCAACACGGUUACUAGUAGUUGUUGGAGUCGUUCAAAAUGGAUCGGAUUGGAUCAAUCCAAAGAACUUUUUGUGUAACUUUAUAUAAAAACAAUAAUUAUUAUUAUUAUUAAGUGAUAGGGAUACGGAGCUAAUCCAUGAUCUAGCAGACUGCAGACUCGGAUUUGGUGCAACUAGACAAAUUGAAGUUAUACGAGGAUAAGUAAUGGACAAAUGUCUCAACAAGCCACACGUGUGGACAAAUGCUAUAGGUGAGUUUUCCCAACUCUCAGGGACCCAAUUUCGUCAUCUAGAGCUCCGAUUUUGAAGUCAAUGUUUUCCCCAAUUAAGCAUUUUUAAUUAAUUUCGCUUGGUUGUAAAAAACGGCUGGAUUUUUUUAACUAGAUAUUUAUUCGUUGUUUUUUAGGCUGUCAAUUUCAAGGCAUAUUUCAAGGCUGUCAAUGUCUGGUAUAGAGCAAGUAGUGGUUUGCAAAAAAAAAGAAAAAAAAAAGAAAAAGAAA